GUCUGGGGGCUGGAAGCCCACAAUCCAGGUGCUGGGGCCACGCUCCCUCCGAGGCUCUGGGGGACGCCCCUCCUGCCUCUUCGGGGUUCUGGCGGCUUCAGGCAGCUCUUGGCCAUGGCUGCCUUCCCCUGUGGGGUCUCUGUGCCUGCUUUCUUCCCAUAAGGACAUCGGCCAUAGGAUCUACGCCUACCCUGCUCCAGCACAACCUCACCUGAACCGGUUAUGUCUGCAUGACUGGGUGAGGUCGCAUCCACAGGUCCUGAGGCGCAGGCAGCAGGUGACACGGUGAUGUCAGGCCAGGGAGGCAGGUCCCUCACCCACGUGUUGGGCCCCUACAUGUUCAUGGGGUUAUUCCUGGCAUCUGGCGCAUGUAUGUUCUGUGAAGUCAGACAAGAUGCUUGCUGCUUUCUGACCGUCAGGAACAAUUGACCUGAUGUCACCAGCAGGAGACCAGUGCCAUGGCCCUGGGACCUCCAGGUAGCCGCAGAGGUGAUGUGGCCACACCCCGAGCAGACAGCCAUGCGGGAUGGGGUGGUAACUGGAAGAUCUUGACCAGAGCGAGGCGGCCACAAGCACAGGUGUGUCAAAGCCCCUGGGAGCGGGCAGCGGCCGAGAAGGAUUCUGCACUGGCGCUUCUGGAGGGAGAGCCCCGAUCCCUGCCCAGCGAUGCUGGCUUUGGGCUUCCUACUUUCGUGUGAGAGAGUAAUUGUGUAUUGUUUGAGGCUCCUGGGCCACAGUGAUUCGUCUUCGCAUCCCCCGGAAACAAAUUCAAGGAGAGGUCUCUCCUGCCUUGCCCUGGAUUCUAGAGCCAGCCACAGUGGAGUUUGAAAGAGGCCAGGCUUAUGUCACAGACGAAUUUACUCUCUAAGCCGAGGGAAAGGUGUGCCCGGGCCUCUCCUGGGUGCAAUGUGGAGUGAGGGGCCCCCAAUCAAUGGGCCCCACUGGCUCCUCCCGAUCCUCUGGUGGCCUCUUCUCCAUUGGGUCAGGGCUGUGCUGGCGUCACAAUAAACGUGACUUAGUCGCUGUGAGUCCUGGUCUGUCACAGACCAGCCAGCGUAGGUGAGCGCCGGCUCCUUCAGCCGACUCAGCAAGCCCACAGUCUCUGGUUGGUGAACCCCUAGGGGGGAUUAGCUCGGAUCAGCCUUGCAUCCGAUCGCUGGCACGAGACCCUAGAUGUCACCCCUCACAUGAUUUGCCCAAGAUGUGUGCAGCCAAGCCUGACAUACCUUUUGGCCUCCAAGCCCCUUCUCCUGGGCCA
ensembl:lncRNA